rnacentral:rRNA from 1 species
GACGAACGCUGGCGGCGUGCUUAACACAUGCAAGUCGAACGGUGAAGCGCCUUCCUUUUUGGUGGGUGUGGAUGAGUGGCGAACGGGUGAGUAACACGUGAGUAACCUGCCCCCUUCUUCUGGAUAACCGCAUGAAAGUGUGGCUAAUACGGGAUAUUCUGGGUCUGUCGCAUGAUGGGUCUGGGAAAGAUAUUGUUUCGGUGGGGGAUGGGCUCGCGGCCUAUCAGCUUGUUGGUGGGGGGAUGGCCUACCAAGGCGGUGACGGGUAGCCGGCCUGAGAGGAUGGGCGGCAAUAGUGCGGAGAAGACACCGAGAAGACUCCGGGGGGCAGCAGUAGUGAAGAAUAGAGCACGGGGGGAAGCAGGCUGAAGCAACAACGCGUCGGGAGAGAUGGAGUUCGUCGGGUUAUGAACCUCUGUCGGGAGUGAAGCGCGGCAGCCUAAUUUGUGGGUGGGUUGACGGUAGCUAGAGAAGAAGCACCGGCUAACUACGUG